UGACCUCAAAUCAGGUAGGACUACCCGCUGAACUUAAGCAUAUCAAUAAGCGGAGGAAAAGAAACUAACAAGGAUUCCCCUAGUAACUGCGAGUGAAGCGGGAAAAGCUCAAAUUUUGAAUCUGGCGGUCUUCGCAGGCCGUCCGAGUUGUAAUCUAGAGAAG
rnacentral:rRNA from 1 species